rnacentral:rRNA from 1 species
AUUGAACGCUGGCGGCAGGCCUAACACAUGCAAGUCGAGCGAGCGGGGGACGGGUGAGUAAUGUAUGGGGAUCUGCCCGAGAGAGGGGGAUAACGAAUGGAAAAGGUGGCUAAUACCGCAUACUAUCGGAGGAACCAAGUGGGGAUUAGCUAGUCGGUGGGGUAAAGGCUUACCUAGGCGACGAUCUCUAGCUGGUCUGAGAGGAUGAUCAUCCACACUGGUACGGAGAUACGGCCCAGACUCCGCCGGGAGGCAGCAGUGGGGAAUAUUGCCCAAUGGGCGCACGCCUGAUGCAGCCAUGCCGCGUGUAUGAAGAAUGCCUUAGGGUUGUAAAGUACUUUCAUCGGGGAGGCCUUACCCUCCUAAGCAUCACCGGCUAACUCCGUGCCAGCAGCCGCGGUAUUCC